rfam:Ciona savignyi cont_14927, whole genome shotgun sequence.
GCCUAAGACCAUACCACGUUUAGAACACCCCACCUCGUCCGAUCUGAGAAGUUAAGCAACGUCGGGCCCGUUUAGUACUUGGAUGGGUGACCGUCUGGGAAUACCGGGUGUUGUAGGCA